rnacentral:rRNA from 1 species
GACGAACGCUGGCGGCGUGCCUAACACAUGCAAGUCGAGCGAGAUACCUUCGGGUAUCUAGCGGCGGACGGGUGAGUAACACGUGGGUAACCUGCCUCAUAGAGGGGGAUAGCCUUCCGAAAGGGAGAUUAAUACCGCAUAUACUCCAAGCAUCGCAUGGUGCAAGGAGGAAAGGAGUAAUCCGCUAUGAGAUGGACCCGCGGCGCAUUAGCUAGUUGGUGAGGUAACGGCUCACCAAGGCGACGAUGCGUAGCCGACCUGAGAGGGUGAUCGGCCACAUUGGAACUGAGAAACGGUCCAGACUCCUACGGGAGGCAGCAGUGGGGAAUAUUGCACAAUGGGCGAAAGCCUGAUGCAGCAACGCCGCGUGAGUGAUGAAGUACUUCGGUAUGUAAAGCUCUGUCUUUGGGGACGAUAAUGACGGUACCCAAGGAGGAAGCCACGGCUAACUACGUGCCAGCAGCCGCGGUAAUACG